GCGCAGCAGUCGCGAAACCUCCGCAAUACACGAAAGUGUGACGGGCCAUCCCGAUGCCGUCCGCUGAGGACGGCUUUUUCCCCCAGUGUACACAGCUGGGGGAAUAAGGAGAGGGCAAGCCUGGUGUCAGCCGCCGCGGUAAUACCAGCUCUCCGAGUGGUGGGGACGCUUAUUGGGCCUAAAGCAUCCGUAGCCGGCUGGGCAAGUCCUCCGUUAAAUCCAACGAUUCAAUCGUUGGGCUGCGGGGGAUAC
rnacentral:rRNA from 1 species